rnacentral:rRNA from 1 species
UACGUAGGGUGCGAGCGUUUGUCCGGAAUUAUUGGGCGUAAAGAGCUCGUAGGCGGUGUGUCGCGUCGGCCGUGAAAACCUGCAGCUUAACUGUGGGCGUGCGGUCGAUACGGGCAUCACUGGAGUUCGGCAGGGGAGACUGGAAUUCCUGGUGUAGCGGUGAAAUGCGCAGAUAUCAGGAGGAACACCGGUGGCGAAGGCGGGUCUCUGGGCCGAUACUGACGCUGAGGAGCGAAAGCGUGGGGAGCGAACAGG